rnacentral:lncRNA from 1 species
UUUUGUAACUCCUACUAGACAUUUUUAUACUUUCUUAUUCUAUCCCUAUUUUCUCUCUUGCCUUUUAUUCUGAUGUAUUAUAUUCUGAUUUCUCUUUCUUUUUGUGCUGCAUUUAGGAUAAAUCCAGAUGACUAAUUCUCCUCUCAACCACAGUUCAAUUUUAUCCAAUGAGAUUUUUCUCCUCUCAACCACAGUUCAAUUUUAUCCAAUGAGAUUUUUCUUUUUUGAUUACAUACCUUAGUUGUGCACUUCCUCUCCCUUCCUAAUUCUGCCUAUUUUUUCUCACAUUUCCAUUCUUCAUUUUCUAUCCUUAAUUAUUUGACAUGUAUGUAUGUUAUUGUCUUUUUACACUAUUCUGUCAUUUCAGGUCUUCAAUAAUCUUGUCUGCUGACCCCACCAGAUAAAUUGUGCAGUGUACUAUUCAUGAUUGUGGGGACAUCUUCAACAGAGGUUGGUUUUCUUUCUCAAUGAAACUGUCUGCUUUUAGUUUGCUCUACAAUUUGUUUCCAGAGUUUCAAGGGCCAGUGACCUGCUUUUACAUUGAUUUCUCAUCUUGGGGAGAUAAGCACCAUGUAGGUAACAUACAUUUUACUCCAUGUCAAUAUGUAAUAUUAGCCUGAGGUAUUUGAAUUCCGACAGAAGACUAUUGUCUCCUGCCAUUAAGAGGAACACAGGAAGAGAUGUACAUUCUUAUUGCCAUAUACACAGGCCAGUGAAUGGACUUACCUAGCACACCUUUUAUAGAAGAAUCAACACUAGACCAGUCUCCACCUGACGUAAGGAUUUUAGUUUUGAAUCUCAAUCUAACCCAAGCUCAAUGCAGCCUCUCUUGUUCCUGUAUAUAAAUGAAAAUGUCAGUCCCUAGUUGCUAUGGUCUAGCUCUUCUGGUGGUUCUUGAGCUUCCUAGGUCAUCUACUUAUAUGCUUAUGUCUCUAGCUUAAGUUUUCUCUUUAUUUCUGGAACUUGGGGAUUUUCCUUUCUUUUCUUAUGAUUCACCUAUACAAUGAAUCAAAUAUUUCUGUUGUAGUGAGAAGAGAGUUCCUAAUCCCCAUUAUAAUUUAAAAUUU